CCACUUGGAGGGUCCAAGUGGGGAGUUGGAAGACUUCUGUUUGUUGACGUCGGUGUUUUAAUUCUGUUGGUGUCUUUUGGGUUCACAGUCCCUCUGAUGGACUGCACUGCGAAUCACCGAAGUGUAGAAAUAUGUUGUGCACGCUGCAAAAAGGGGUGUUUGGGAUGGUGCGCGUUACACCAGGCGAGGCGUAAGAUCAUCAGGGAGAUCUGAGGAAACUCGAAGAAGCCUCAAGAAUCAGCAGAUGUCCUGCAGGCACAUCUUGGGAGUGGGCCUCCAGCAGUGGGGAGAACACUGAUGGACAUGUCCAGAUGUUUCUGCAGACAUCAUGCACUGAGAGCUCGUUGGUGAACAUCUAUGGAGAAUGAUGAGAAAUUCAGAGGUGAUUUUGACCAACGGCUUGAGUGUUAAAUCUCUACUACUGUCCUUGCCAUUUUGCCUUUACUGGUUUUCUGUGUGACCAGCUGGCUUCAGUACCUCAACCACCCAGCUCUCUGCCCCAGGACCUCUGCACAUGCCUCACCCAUCUCCAAAGGCAACUCCCCUUGAAGAGUUUUUGACUUCAGUGUGUAAAGUGAAUCCCUUUCUACCCCAGGACCAUUCACUGCCUCAGGACCAUUUUUUUUCUAGUGCUUACUACAGUGAGUGAUUACUUUCUUUCUCUGAUCUCUCCUCCCCACUAGACUGUAAAUUACAUAAUCUCUCUCUAAAUAUAUACUCAUGUCUA